CGGACGGGUGAGUAAUGCCUAGGAAUCUGCCUGGUAGUGGGGGACAACGUUUCGAAAGGAACGCUAAUACCGCAUACGUCCUACGGGAGAAAGCAGGGGACCUUCGGGCCUUGCGCUAUCAGAUGAGCCUAGGUCGGAUUAGCUAGUUGGUGAGGUAAUGGCUCACCAAGGCGACGAUCCGUAACUGGUCUGAGAGGAUGAUCAGUCACACUGGAACUGAGACACGGUCCAGACUCCUACGGGAGGCAGCAGGA
rnacentral:rRNA from 1 species